rnacentral:rRNA from 1 species
UACGUAGGGUGCAGGCGUUAAUCGGAAUUACUGGGCGUAAAGCGUGCGCAGGCGGCUCCUUAAGUCAGAUGUGAAAGCCCCGGGCUUAACCUGGGAACUGCGUUUGAAACUGGGGGGCUAGAGUGUGGAAGAGGGGGGUGGAAUUCCAGGUGUAGCAGUGAAAUGCGUAGAGAUCUGGAGGAACACUGAUGGCGAAGGCAGCCCCCUGGGCUAACACUGACGCUCAUGCACGAAAGCGUGGGGAGCAAACAGG